rnacentral:rRNA from 1 species
GUCUUUUUGGUUUAUAUAUAAAGUCUAGCCUGCCCACUGAAUUUUAAAUGGCCGCAGUAAUUUGACUGUGCAAAGGUAGCAUAAUCAUUAGUUUUUUAAUUAAAAGCUUGUAUGAAAGGUUGGACGAGGUAAAUACUGUCUCUAUUUAAUUUAUUUUAAAAUUUAAUUUUUAAGUUAAAAAGCUUAAAUUUUUGUAAAAGACGAGAAGACCCUAUAGAUCUUUAUAAUUUUUAUAUUAAAAUAAAUUUAGAUAUAUUUAUAUUUUAUUAUAAUAAUUAUUUUAUUGGGGUAAUAAAAAGAUUUAAUAAAUUCUUUUUUUUUAUUUAUAUUAAUUUAUAUUUUAUUGAUCCAUUAUUAAUGAUUAUAAGAUUAAGUUACCUUAGGGAUAACAGCGUAAUUUUUUUGGAGAGUUCAUAUCGAUAAAAAAGUUUGCGACCUCGAUGUUGGAUUAAAGAUUAAUUUAGGUGCAGAAGUUUAAAUUUUUGGUCUGUUCGACCAUUAAAUCUUUACAUGAUCUGAGUUCAGACCGGCGUAAGCCAGGUCGGUUUCUAUCUUUAUUAAAUUAAAAUAUUUUAGUACGAAAGGACCAAAUAUUUAAUAUAUUUAUAUUUAAUUUUUUGAAUAUUAUU